rnacentral:ncRNA from 1 species
UUGUUUGCACGGACCCUUUGCCAAAUGAUUUUGUGCCCAGCACGAUGGCCCGCUUAUGAUCUUGAAGAGCUCCCGCAACAAUUUCCGAUGCGGAGGCCGAGCCGCCAUUUAUUAGAAGAACUAUUGGCCUACCAUUUGCUAAAUCUCCCUUCUUAGCGUGAAAACGUUUGUGAUCAUUUUUUUCGCGAGUUCUCGUCGAUACGAUUUCGCCCCUAUUUAGAAAUGCAUCGCUUACAGCGAUUGCCUGGUUAAGAAGUCCCCCAGGGUUAUUACGA